GCUCAGGAUGAACGCUAGCUACAGGCUUAACACAUGCAAGUCGAGGGGUAGCAGGGUAGCAAUACCGCUGACGACUGGCGCACGGGUGAGUAACACGUAUCCAACCUUCCCAUAACUCGGGGAUAGCCUUUCGAAAGAAAGAUUAAUACCCGAUAGUACUUAUAUAAGGCAUCUUAAAUAAGUUAAAGAUUUAUUGGUUAUGGAUGGGGAUGCGUUCCAUUAGAUAGUUGGUGAGGUAACGGCUCACCAAGUCUUCGAUGGAUAGGGGUUCUGAGAGGAAGGUCCCCCACAUUGGUACUGAGACACGGACCAAACUCCUACGGGAGGCAGCAGUGAGGAAUAUUGGUCAAUGGGCGAGAGCCUGAACCAGC
rnacentral:rRNA from 1 species